UACGUAGGGCGCAAGCGUUGUCCGGAAUUAUUGGGCGUAAAGGGCGCGUAGGCGGCAUGACAAGUCACUUGUGAAAUCUCCGGGCUUAACUCGGAACGGUCAAGUGAUACUGUCGCGCUAGAGUGCGGAAGGGGCAAUCAGAAUUCUUGGUGUAGCGGUGAAAUGCGUAGAUAUCAAGAGGAAUACCUGAGGUGAAGACGGGUUGCUAGGCCGACACUGACGCUGAAGCGCGAAAGCCAGGGGAGCAAACGGG
rnacentral:rRNA from 1 species